rnacentral:rRNA from 1 species
GAAGUCGGAAUCGCUAGUAAUCGUAGAUCAGAAUGCUACGGUGAAUACGUUCCCGGGCCUUGUACACACCGCCCGUCACACCAUGGGAGUGGGUUGCAAAAGAAGUAGGUAGCUUAACCUUCGGGAGGGCGCUUACCACUUUGUGAUUCAUGACUGGGGUGAAGUCGUAACAAGGUAACCGUAGGGGAACCUGCGGUUGGAUCACCUCCUUACCUUAAA